ACGGACGGCCAUAGGGGCGCUUGUUACCCGUUCCCAUUUCGAACACGGAAGUCAAGGGCGUCUCCGUAUCGGAUUGUACUGCAUUCCGCGGGAACUCCGGUAAGCUGUCCACC
rnacentral:rRNA from 1 species